AUGAACGCAAAGCAUUUGAUGAAACAAAAGCUGGUGUAAAAGGACUUGUUGAUGGAGGAGUUGAGAAGAUACCAAGUUUAUUCCAUCAUCAACCUGACAAAUAUGAGAUAGCCUACAACACAAGCCAUGUUAUUCCUGUCAUAGACCUUAAAGAUAUUGAUAACAAAGAUCCAAGUAUUCAUCAAGGGAUUGUUAGCAAAAUCAAGGAAGCAUGUGAAACUUGGGGGUUUUUUCAGGUUGUUAAUCAUGGAAUCCCUUUGAGUGUUCUUGAGGAGAUGAAGGAUGGUGUGAAGAGGUUUCAUGAGAUGGAGACAGAUGCUAAAAAGGAGUUUUAUACAAGAGAUUUGCAUGGAUCAUUUAUUUACAAAAGCAAUUUUGAUUUGUAUAGCUCACCAGCACUCAAUUGGAGGGAUACUUGUACUUGUUCCUUGGCUCCUGAUACUCCCAAACCAGAAGAUUUUCCUGUUGUAUGCAGGUAUGUUUGUAUGCAUGCAUAUACAAUUUAUGUGCUCAAUGCUCCUUGAACUUUAGUUAUUUUCAUUGGUACAAACGACACUUUAGAUUAAAGAUGUGUUCAAUAUUUUUUAUAUUACUUUUUAAAAUUAUUGUUUGAGUCGACGUGUAAGUAGUGCCUCUGAUAUCCGUAUAUAUUGACCAACUUAUACAAAAUAUAAAGGAUGUGUUGCUGUGCAAGAUAAUUAAGAGAUAAGAUAGGAUAAUCGUAUCAUAUCGCAUCUCAAUUUAGUGUUUGAUGAGAGGAUAUGGUAUAAUAAGUUAACUUUGAAACUUAUUUUCUCCUAUCUCUGUAGUUAAAAACCACUAUGCUCCAAGAAUCAUUGUUAAACUUGUAAAAAAAUAUAGCAUGGUUACAAAGUUGUCUGGUUUGGGUGGAUUUCCAUCGUUUCAAGCAUAAUUUCCCCUUUUUGUCCUUUAAUGACUUUUUUAUCGAAUCCUUUACAAAACUCAACUAAAAUACAUUCAAACUAGAUACUUUUAACUUUAAAAUAACUCUAAAAGUGACCUAAAAAUCAUAUAUGAUUUCCUUUCUUCAAUAAAAUAAAUUAUCAUAUUUGUUAUCUUGUCCACAACAAAUAUAUUGUAUGAUAACUACUUAGGUCUAUAUCAUAUUAUUAGUCAAAAAUAAAAUAAAAUCAUAUCAAUUCUUUAUAUUUUAUCAUAUCUCUGUCAUAUCAUAUCAUGUGCAUGUGCAGCAAAUAGGUCCAAAUGUCUGAAAUUGAAUUUAGCUCUCAUUUACUAAUUCUUGCAGAGAUAUACUACUAGAAUAUGGGAAACAGGUGAUGAAUCUAGGAACUUUGCUGUUUGAAUUGUUGUCACAAGCUUUAGGUUUGAAUCCAAACCAUCUAAAAGAUAUGGGUUGUGCCGAAGGGCUAAUUGCUCUUUGCCAUUAUUAUCCUCCUUGUCCUGAACCAGAAUUGACUGUGGGAACAACAAAGCAUUGUGACAAUGAUUUCCUCACAGUGCUUCUCCAAGACCAUAUUGGUGGCCUCCAAGUUCUUUAUGAAGAUAAAUGGAUUGAUAUAACACCUGUACCUGGAGCUCUCGUAGUUAAUGUUGGUGAUCUUUUGCAGGCAAGUUUUAUGUAUUCUUAUGUUUAUAUUGAUAGAAGAUGUAAGCAUAUAACUAAUUAUUUGUUUGUUUACCUUGUAGCUUAUAACAAAUGAUAGAUUCAAGAGUGUUGAACAUAGAGUAGUUGCAAAUCAAGUUGGUCCAAGAAUAUCUGUUGCAUGCUUUUUCUCCACAGGCCUUAGGCCAUCGUCAAAGCUCUAUGGACCUAUGAAGGAACUAUUAUCAGAAAACAAUCCUCCCAAAUACAGAGAAACCACAGUUGCUGAUUUUGCAGCCUACUUUAAUGCAAAAGGACUAGAUGGUACUUCUGCUCUUACACAUUACAAGAUUUGAACUAGACAGUGUAGAAGAAAAAAAUUGUAAAUCAUUGAAUAAACAUGGUGAGUUGAUGGUGUCAUGGUGAUGUAGUUAUUCAUUAAUUCCACAUGAUGAUGAUAUAAACUUGAAAUAUGGUGUGCACAUAUUUAGUUCUUUAGUUCCACAUGAUUAGUUAUUCAUGAAUUCCAUGUGGUUUCUAUUUCAUACAAUGGAUUGUAUAUGUAUUUUCUAUGUCAUAUUUAGAAUAUGUCUAUACAUAAGAUUCAUGUAUUGGUUUUACAAAUCAGACUAAAGCAUCAUAACUCAUAAGAUUCAUACUAUAGUCUAUACCUAGAAUAUGAGAAAAGAAAAUACUACUAUAAUAGUAACCUUUUGAGCCAUUUUACAAAAUAGAAAUGAAAAAAAAAAAAACAUGAAAAAUUGAUGCAAUUAAUUAGAGUUAUUAUUUUUAGAACCAAUAACACUAAAUUUGAGUAAAAGACAGAAACACAAUGUUACCUUCUUUCUCACUUACUUGAGCUAUCUAACCCCUUGUAUAUGGAUACACAAAUUUUACAAUUUAUGCACCUUAAAACAUUUAUGAAGUUUGGUUGGAUUCAAGACAUGUAGUUGGUCCGCGACAAGUAGGUGUCUGGCUUAUAUUGGCGAACGUUGUCCUAAAUUUUUGGGAAAGUUGGUCUGCAACACGGGGUCAUACUCGCGAUGCAAGUUGCGAUGAGAGUGACAUGAAGCUUGUAGUCUGCGACGUGAUUCAAUGCAAGACCGAAUUUAAUAAUUUCACUUUGAACUCGCGACACAUAGCUCAUAGCAUGUGUCACAAGUGAGGUCUAGGCCGAAUUUGGCUUUUUCUUCACUUCUUGCUCCAUUUCAACGCACCUGUACUCUGUUGAACACAUAGUAGUUGCAAAUCAAAUUGGUGUAAGAAUAUCUGUUGCAUGCUUUUUCUCCCCAGGUCUUAGGCCAUUGUCAGAGCUCUAUGUACCAAUAAAAGAACUAUUAUCAUUUGCCUAAUACAAAUAAUUGAAUAAGCUUGGUGAGUUGAUGGUGAUGUUAUUCAUCAAUUCCACGAAAUGAUGAUGAUAUAAACUUGAAAAUUUGCGUGCACAUAUUUAAUUCUUCAAUUCCACAUGAUUAGUUAUUCAUAAAUUCCACGUUGUUUCUGCUUACUACAUGGAAUUGUUUUUCGUCAAUUCCACGUGGUUUCUACUACGUUCCUAUAUCCAAGCUCCUUUUACAUUUUUCAUAUUUCUUCAGAAAAAUUGUUAGUGCAAUUAAUAUGUAUGUGUUAAUAUAAUCAAAUUGUCCUUUGUUCGUAUAUGUAUUAAAUUAUAUUUUUCAUAUUUCAAGAUAAAUUAGUAGUAUUAAUUAGAGGUAUGUUUAAGAAAAGAAUAAUAAAUACAUCUAAUACUCCCUCCGUCCCAAAUUGUAUAUGUUUUGGGCAUUUCACACAUAUUAAGAAAUACAAUUAAUAUUGUGUGGAAAAAAGAUAUUAUAAGUUGUUUUACAAAAUUGUCCUUAAUAAAUAAUAUGGAAAAGAUAAAUGAAAAAAUUGAAAGAAGAGAGAAUAAUAAAUGAUUAAUGUUAUAAUAGGAAAAGUAACAUUAAUAUUGCAUGGAUAUUGUAAAGCGACAUAUAAUUUGGAACAAAAAUUUUAUUCUAAAGCGACAUACAAUUUGAGAUGGAGGGAGUAAUUUGAAAAGGAGAAUACAUUUAGAGAUAAAAAUAAAGGCAAAUAGAUGCUUAGAUACAAGAACAGAAGAAGAAUAUGUCAUACAAUGGAUUAUAAGUGUAUUUUGGUGCUUCGUUUUUUUUUUUUUUAUCCUUUUCUUUCUAAUAUAGAACUAUUCCUCUAAAAACUUAUAUUGUUAAUAUCACAUUUAUACCUUAACCCAACAAUAAAGGUAUGUUUGGUUUUAUGGUGAGAAAAAUUGAUUUUGAAAGAAUUUAUUUUGUAAAAUUUAUUUUAUUUAAAAGAAACUUAAAUGUAAAGUUGUUUAUGUCCGGAUAUAUCUACCUAAAAUUGAGUUGAACAAAAGCUAGUAAGCUACGUUGACAUUAAAAAAAAACCUUAAUCAUGUACCAGUAAAAUGUUAUAUACACAAUAGUAAAAAUUGGCUUAACCAUGUUACCAUUAUUCUUCAAUGUCUAACGGGUGUGGUUAGCUAAUCAAUUUUCUAUACAAAAAUUGUAAAGGUUUUAUUUUUACAUAUUUUUCUUAACCCUUUUAUUCUCAAUAAAAAAACUAUGAUAAUUUGAAAUUCAAUUAAAAUGUUAGUAAAGUUUAGACAUAAAUAUAACUCCGACAUAUCAUAUUAAUGUUCCAUAUGCGUCGGUGUCUUAUAUCAACAUGUGUAUAUUUAAAUAAUUCUUUUUUUUUUUCUUUCAAAUUAUCAUUGUUGUCGUAUCCGUGUUUGUGUUCGUGUUUCAUAGUUCUAUAUCAAUUCAAUGUUAAGGCAGUCAACCGUAAAUUAUUUCACUUUGAAUACGUAACUUUUAGGUGUGACAAAGAAUAUAAAUUCUAGCUUUGUCUACUCACUCUUCUAGUUACCAUAUCUAGCUACAGAACCACUACAAACAUAAGAAAAAUGGGAACCACAGGCACAACCAAGCCUAACCUUGAUUCUAUAUUGAGUGAACGCAAAGAAUUUGAUGAAACAAAAGCUGGUGUAAAAGGACUUGUUGAUGCAGGACUUAAGAAGAUACCAAGCUUAUUCCAUCAUCAACCUGACAAAUAUGAGAAAGCCAACAACAUGAGCCAUGCUAUUCCUGUCAUAGACCUUAAAGAUAUUGAUAAUAAAGAUCCAAGUAUUCACCAAGGGAUAGUUGACAAUAUCAAGGAAGCAUGUGAAACUUGGGGUUUUUUCCAAGUUGUUAAUCAUGGAAUCCCUUUGAGUGUUCUUGAGGAGUUGAAAGAUGGUGUCAAGAGGUUUUAUGAACAGGAUACAGAAGUCAAAAAAGAAUUGUAUACUAGAAAUAGCAAUAGAUCCUUUGUUUAUAAUAGUAAUUUUGAUAUUUAUAGCUCACCAGCACUCAAUUGGAGGGAUAGUUUUAUGUGUUACUUGGCUCCACCUGAUACUCUCAAACCACAAGAGUUUCCUGUGGUAUGCAGGUAUGUUUAUGCAUAUGUGUAAAAUUUAUUUGCUCCUUGAAAUUUGGUCAUUAUCAUUUGUAGCACCGAAAUUUCAGAUUGGAUGCGCGUUGAGUGUCUAACAUGUGUUUGUGUCUGUUUAAAUAAUAUGUAAUGGUUCUUUUGUUAUAAUUGAGAUAAGGGUAGUUACGUCUAUUUAUAUUUCACUAUAUAUUUUGAGAGUAACAUUUGUAUUUUGAAGAUUUUGCUCAUUCUAAUGAAACUUUAAUCGCGUUUGUUAUUUUGUUCUCUUCAUUAGUUCUCUAGAUGGUUAAGAGUGUUGUCGGUCUCUGACACGACACUCAUACACGUGGUUACAUUCAUUUAUACCAUAUUUUCAACUUUUAGCGUUAAUGUGUCGAAAUCGUCUCCAAUACUUAGCCACUUUUUUUUUUUUGGACUAGUCGAAGUAACAACUUAACAAGGACUAAAUUUCAGUGAAUCGUGGCAGUAAGGCCAUUCUACGACUUACAAUACUUCGCAGCGUAUUUAAGUCGUACUCAAGCCUUUUUCUAAUAUCUCUAAUUUUGUCUUAUAUAUAAGAAAAUGUGUUUUCAUUUGUGAAAUUGCUUUCAUAUCCUUAUUUUGAGGUGUAUUAAUCGGUGAAAUAGCUUUGAUAUAUCCUUUUCAUAUUCACUAGAAUUGCAUCUAUUUCACAUGAGAUGAAAGGUCUAUUUAUAAGAAACAAAUCACAUAUAGUAGUAUAAAAACCAACUGAUACAAACUAUGAAAAGUAUGAAACUGAAUUUAAUCCAUAAUUUUUUUUCUCUCUGAUUGACUGCUUAUUCUUGCAGAGAUAUACUGUUACAAUAUGGGAAAUACAUGAUGAAUCUAGGGACUUUAUUAUUUGAAUUGUUGUCAGAAGCAUUAGGUUUGAAUCCAAACCAUUUGAAAGAUAUGGAUUGUGCUGAAGGGCUGAUUGCUCUUUGCCAUUACUACCCUCCUUGUCCUGAACCAGAAUUGACUGUAGGAACAACAAAGCAUUCUGAUAAUGAUUUCCUCACAGUGCUUCUACAAGACCAUGUUGGUGGUCUUCAAGUUCUGUAUGACGACAAAUGGAUUGAUAUAACACCUGUACCUGGAGCUCUCAUUGUUGAUGUCGGUGAUCUUCUGCAGGCAAGUUUUAUGUAUUCUUAUGUUUAUAUUUCCAUAAACUGUUAGUAAUGUAUGUACCAAAAUGGACAAAAAUCAACAUGGUGAAUCAUAAUGUGUUUUGCACUGAGGAAAACAGACAAAGGUAAUAAAAUAGAACACAUUAAGCCAUUUGAUGUAUAUUUAGAGUUAGACUAGUUUAUCAAAUCUCUUGCAUUUUCAACUUGGUUUCAAGCAUAUAGCCGGCGUUAUAUUCCAUAAUCCAUCUUAUUUGAGGUGUUAUGUAUUGCGUGCCUUUUAUUAUUGCUUACUUUACUAUUUGACUAGUUCCAAGUAAGCUAUAUCCCUCAAACUGAUAGGAAUUGGUGUCUUUAAUCUCUGGUUUGGAUUUUAAGAUUUUAGUUAGAAGUAUCAAUAGAUAACGUAAGCAUAUAACUAAUUAUUUGUUUGCUUCAAUUGUAGCUUAUAACAAAUGACAGAUUCAAGAGUGUUGAACACAGAGUAGUUGCAAAUGAAGUUGGCCCAAGAAUAUCUGUGGCAUGCUUUUUCUGCACAGGUAUUAGGUCAUCCUCAAAGCUCUAUGGACCUAUAAAGGAACUAUUAUCAGAAGACAAUCCUCCUAAAUACAGAGAAACAACGGUUUCUGAUUAUGUAGCUUACUUUGAAAAAAAAGGACUAGAUGGUACUUCUGCUCUUACACAUUACAAGAUUUGACACCCAGGCAAUGUGGCAGAAAAAAGUAUUAGUUCAUAUAAAUAAUCGAACGACCAUGAUGACUUGGUUGUUGUGUAGUUGCGAAGUAUAAAUAAUUGAAUGAUCUUGGUGAAUGAACUAGAAAUAUGGUGUGGUUUCUAUUUCAUGCUAUGGAUGAAUUAAAAAGUAUAAACAUUCACUUAUUGAAAACAAAUGUCAUUUUUUCUGUCAUAGCCCUCCAGUUUUGAGAAAUAAUUUGUUGAUAAUUCAGAGUUUGGUUCGAAGGUAAGUAAGCUAUGGCAAAAGAUUGUUCGAGCUAGAACUUGAGCUCAAUUCUACCAAACGAUUUGUCUUUAACUGAGAAAAAUGUCGUUUGCUUAUGUUUGAUCGUUGUUUUCCUAGUUAGACUUGAUUUAACUCGAUUUCUCUCGGGAACUUACAUCAUUGGCCUGUAUUCUACAAUCUUUCGAAUGUCGAUCAGAAAGAAAAAAGCAUACUGUGUUGAAACUGAAUCGAGCUCCGUCAUUAAUCAGUAUGAUCCAAAAUGUAUAAAACUUCAGCGAAAACUGUUAUUGCUAUUAUUAAUUGAAAAGGUCAUUCACAUAUAAAUAUGUAAUUAUUCGAUUUGAAUCCUAUUAUUAUGAUUGCAGCUAAUCAAAACACUAACACAACUCUAUUUAUAGAAGUUAAAUAAGUUUGAUUCAUGAAAUUAAAAUUGCAGAAUCUGUUUAUACAAAAGAGUUGCAGUCUGUGAUGUAACUUUCCUAGCACUCUGGAAAAUUGUUCUUUCUUCACAUGUUAGUAAUAAAGCAACCUAUGAAGCACCGACACAAACACGAACACCGACACCGAUAACAAUUUAGGAAAAUAACAUUAUUCAGUGUAAUUAUAGGUGUCGUAUCGUGCCGGUGUCAGACCGACGCGUGUCCGACACCGGGAGACACCUAAUCCGAGUAGCGUCCGUGCUUCAUAAGCAACAGAAAAAGAAGUGUCAGCCACUCACUAUUAAUGAGUUUUUUGUCCCACAUAUAUUCAUAUUUAGGCUAAAAUACUUCAAAGGACCCGCAAAUAUGCCUCGUUUCCCUUUUGGUCCUUGUAAAAAAACUGUCGUUUUUCGUCCUCGCAAAAUUUUUUGUUUUAUAAAAAAGCCCCUGGGCCCAUUGAAUUGUUUAUAAAUUGUUUUUACAAUUUUAAAUUAAUUGAAAAGUCACAUCAGAUGCCACGGGGCCACUUAUGCACAGUCAGGAUGCGUCACGUCGGCAUCAGAGUGCCACCUAGCCGCUACAAUGGGCCCAUUGGCAUUUUUAAAAAACAAAAAAUAUUGCGAGGACAAAAAACGACAUUUUUUUUACAAGGACCAAAAGUCAAACGAAGCAUAUUUGCAUAGACCUUUGGAAUAUUUUAGCUUCAUAUUUAUUAUGCUUUGUAUUCAUAAAGAGAUUUUAAGUCAAAAAUCUACAGCAACAAUAUUGAAGAUAAGGAAAAUGUGAAGUUCUAUGAAAUCUUUUGUAGGCGGCUGUUGAUCUUAUCUUCUUCCCUAUCAUGGAAGUCUCAAUCAUAAAAUAAAUCUUUUGACUAAACAAUUUAUUUUCCAUAUUUUAUAGAAUAUGGAAAUUAAUUUUCAUUGUUUACAUACGUAACUCUUUCUCUUUGGUAUGAUAUAUAUAAUAUAACUGUUGCAACUUCUACUCACUCCAGAACCACUACAUACAUACAAGCAUAAGAAAUAUGGGAACCAUUGAUGCAACCAUGCCUAACCUUGAUUCUGUAAUGAAUGAACGCAAAGCAUUUGAUGAAACAAAAUCUGGUGUGAAAGGACUUGUUGAUGGAGGACUUAAGAGGAUACCUGAGAUAUUCCAUUGUCAACCUGACAAAUACGAGAAAGCCAACAACACAAGCCAUGUUAUUCCUGUCAUAGAUCUUGUAGAUAUUGAUAAUAAAGAUCCAAGUAUUUACCAAGGGAUUGUUGGCAAAAUCAAGGAAGCAUGUGAAACAUUAGGUUUUUUUCAGGUUGUUAAUCAUGGAAUCCCUUUGAGUGUUCUUGAGGAGUUGAAAGAUGGGGUGAAAAGGUUUUAUGAACAAGACACAGAAGUCAAAAAAGAUUUUUAUACAAGAGAUAUGAAUAGAUCUUUUAUUUACAAUAGCAAUUAUGAUAUUUAUAGCCCACCAGCACUCAAUUGGAGAGAUACUUUUGCUUGUUACUUGGCUCCACCUGAUACUCUUAAACCAGAAGAGAUUCCUGUGGUAUGCAGGUACUUGUACAUCUGUAUGCAUGUGUAUGAAAUUUAUGUGCUCCUUGAACUUUGGUUAUUCUGUAAUCUGUUUGUAGCACCGACACACAUCAGAUUAAAGGUGUCUUCGGUGUGUGAUUAGUUGCAUUCAAUUGUACAAUCUUUAGUCGGAUUUUACUUAUCUCUUGGAUGGACUCAGGAUAACCACGACCAUUUUCGCUAAAAAUCGGAGGGCAAAGACCAAAACAAUUAUAAAAAACUAAUUGAUAGAAAUUAUUGAAGGUCUGAAAUUGAAUUUAAUCCUCAAUUUUUUUCCUUCUAAUUGGCUAUUUUUUGUUGCAGAGAUAUACUUCUAGAAUAUGGAAAACACAUGACAAAUCUAGGGACCUUACUGUUUUAAUUGUUAUCAGAAGCUUUAGGUCUGAAUCCAAACCAUCUAAAAGAUAUGGAUUGUGCUAAAGGACUAUUUGCUCUUUGCCAUUAUUAUCCUUCUUGUCCGGAACCAGAAUUGACUGUGGGAACAGCCAAGCAUUCAGACCAUGGUUUUCUCACAGUGCUUAUCCAAGACCAUAUUGGUGGUCUCCAAGUUCUUUAUGAAGAUAAAUGGAUUGAUAUAACACCUGUAUCUGGAGCUCUCAUAGUUAAUAUUGGUGAUCUUCUGCAGGCAAGUUUUCUGUGUCCGUAUGUGUAUAGUUUCCAUUAUGAAAGAAAAAAAUUAAAAUGCCACUUAUUGAGCAAUCAGAAUGUGUCUUAUACUAACUAAUCUGUAAAACAGACACCAAAGCUACUUAGUACAAUCCAUGCAAACUAAAAUGGAUAAUCUAAUUUAUGAUGAUUCUGUUUUGGCUUUUGUAAUUAAUCGAAUCUCUUGCAUUUUCAAAUUGGUUUCAAUGUACUAUUUUGUUAAGAGUCCUAUAUUGGAUAAAAUAUGAUAUGAAAAUUUGUUUACAAGUAGAAGGCAUAUUUCACCAUGCAAGCAGGUUUUAUUAGGAUUGAAUUCGGUCAAUCCAAAUUCCUAGAUAGUAUCAGAGUCUAUCCAAGAUCCAUUGGGAUGUUUCCUAUCCGGUUAGUCUCUCGAUGUUUAGUCAUGGGUGUAGGAAGCGUGUUUAAGAGUCCAACAUUUAAUGAGUUAUUGUCAGAAAAUGUGUUUAUAAGUAGGAGGUAGAGUUUGAACCAACCAAAAUAGUAAUAUCUUAUCUUCCAUCUGAUUUGAUGUAUUUAUUAGUACUAAGAAAUAUGGAUAAAAUUCUAAUUACAUAGAUGGAACACUUCAUAACUUGGAGGUUCUGCAUCUUCCUAUGGCAAAAUGUAAUAUCUUAUAAGUUAUAAUAAUUACAUUACAAUCUAGUUAAACUAAAUUGAACUGGGAUGGAACCAGGUUCAACGGCUUCAAUCACUAUUCCUUAUUUACAUUUUUGAUAUUUUUACCUUUUUAGCAAUAUUUUCAUCCGGUUCAAAGUUGAACCAAAUAAACAAUGACCUAGAGGUUUCAUAAGUUCGAUCUCCGAUUUGGUUGUUAAGAUAUUAAUUGGAAGGAUAUACAAUAGAUGUAAACAAAUAGCUAAAUUUUGUUUUUUUUUGCUGCAUGGCUAAUUAUUAGUUUGUUUACCUUGUAGCUUAUAACAAAUGACAGAUUCAAGAGUGUUGAACACAGAGUACUUGCGAAUAAAAUUGGUCCGCGAAUAUCUGUAGCAUGCUUUUUCUCCACAGGUCAUUGGUCAUCCUCAAAGCUCUAUGGACCAAUAAAGGAUCUAUUAUCAGAAGACAAUCCUCCUAAAUACAGAGAAACCACAGUUGCUGACUAUCUAGCGUACUUUGUAGAAAAAGGAUUAGAUGGUACUUCUGCUCUUACACAUUACAAGAUUUGACACCUAGGCUAUGUGGCAGAAAAAAGUAUUAGUUAAUAUAAAUAAUUGAACGACCUUGAUGACUUGGUGGUUGUGUAGUUGCGAAUUAUAAAUAAUUGAAUGAUCCUGGUGAACGAACUAGAAACAUGAUGAGUUUCUAUUUCAUGCUAUGUGAUUUCUAUUUCAUGCUAUGGAUGAAUUACAAAGCAUAAACAUUCACUUGUUGAAAACAAAUGUCAUUUUUUCUGUCAUAUCCCUCCGGUUUUGAGGGAAAGAAUUUGCUGAUAACUCAGAGGUCAGUUCGAUCCUAAGUAAAAUAUGGAAAAUGAUUGUUCGGGUUAGAACUUGAGCUUGAAUUCUAUCAAACGAUUCGUCUUUAACUGAAAUAAAAAUGUCGUUUGCUUAUGUUUGAUCAGUGUUUUCCUAGUUAGACUUGAUUCAAAUCGAUUGCUCUCGGCAACUUAUCAUCAUUGGCCUGUAUUCUACAAUCUUUCGAAUGUCAAGCCAGAAAGAAAAAAGCAGACUAUGUUGAAACUGAAUUGAGCUCCGUCAUUAAUCAGUAUGAUCCAAAAUGUAUAAAACUAACGAAAACUGUUACUGCGUUGAUUCAUAAAAUUAGAAUUGCAGAAUGUGCUGCCUAUACAAAAGAUAUGCAUUAUGUGAUGUAACUUUCCAAGCACUCUUGAAAAUUGUUCUUUCUUCACAUUCUAGUAAUAAACAGGUGAGCCACGCACUAUUAAUGAGUUUCAAAGUAACACAAUUAUACACAGAAACUAAAAGUAAAAGUAUUCACAUUUCUGCAUAAUACUAAGAUUUGAAUAUGCCAAUUAAAAAGCCAAUAAAUAUAUUUCCAUGUGAUUUAAACCUGAUUGACCUAAUCAUUGAUUUUCAAAGUGAAUGACAUAUGUUGUGUAUCACAACAUGCCAUAAGAAAUUCAACCAUGACGAUAUCUGUAAGUGAUGAAACUUGUCCAUUCAGUGCUUUUGUGAAAUCAAUUGCAACCUAAAGUUCUUGACAUUGUUAUCAAAAACCCGACUUAAGUCUCAAAAUCCUGAUUUUGGCGACAUUGUGUAGCUUCAACGACUCAAAUCCAUAGCAAAGUCCCAAAAACAGACAAAUUCCUAUCAAAAUCGCACUAAACGCACAAAAUCGUGAAAUCCAUUCAAAACCGCAGGAUUUUGAAGGAUUUUGUUCAUUUUUUUUUAUAAGGGUCAAUUUUUCACCCGGUUCGUAAAUUGACCUGAUUUGAAUCCAUAUGACUCGUUCUAUAAAUACCCAAAAGGCCAAAAAAUUUCAUUCUUAUAACAUAUAUUUAACAUUAUUUUUGUUUUGGUAGAAUCCUCGAUUUUGAUUGCGAUUUUACGAGUCCCGACUUUGCUAUCCUACAUCGAUUCUACAAAAGUCCAUGAGUAAAAUCCUUCGAUUUUGAUUGCGAUUUUACGAGUUCCGAUUUUGCUACUCUCUUUCGACUUGAAGUAAAGUCCCGAUUUUCAUAACUUUGGUUCUUGAGUGAUUACUAAUUAUGAAUUUUUAAAUAACAUUCGAGCUGUUUAUAGUUCUUGCUGAUUUGUGGAUUACUUUUGGAACAUGAUAAAGGAUUCAUUGAAACAAUAAUAAGGAGACAAAGAGUUUCAAUAUAGAAUACACUUAUCAAAGUAAGAGUUACAACUUACAAUGAAACUAGCAUUGUUAUCUAAAAGCAAAUAAUGAUACAUAGCAUUGUUAUCUUCAUUGCCUGACCCUAAAAUUUCGUUCUUAAAAAGUGAGAUAUUUGGAAGUUGAACCAAUUCCUCUCCUUUUCAUUGCUGUGUUAUUUUUGACCUCCAAGCUAUUAAGAAAAUCCUUCUUUGACUUCUUCAUUAUGUUGCUGCUCUUCACUGACAAGUUGUAUCCAGAUCCAUUAUCUCCACAAAAUCUUCUUUCGCUGGGUGGAAGUUUGGUGCAUGUUUUGAUUUUCCUGCUUUGUUUUCUUGCAUCUUCUUCCUUGUAGCGUUGCGCGAGUCGAUCAACUGCUUCAUUCUCAGUCUGAGCCACUCUUUUGACCUUAGCCUCAUACAGCUGCAACCAAGUGAAUGAAACUCUUUUUUCUUUCAUCUUCUUAACUACUUCAUUAGUGCAAUUUAUACCAAACUGCUUCUCAAAGAACUUUCUCCACAAUUGAUCUGUUAUAGGGCUCAAAUCCAUCCCUUGAGUGGACUUCUCAAUAUGCAUCAACUGGUCAAGUGUGCAGUGAGGCAAGAUUCUCUCAAGCAUAUCAUGAUCAACAUGACUAACAUCUCCAAGGUAUUUUACAUUAUCAAUACCUUUCUCAACACAAAGAUCAACCAAAGGUGUUUGAUCCUUUCUUUUCAUCAUAACAGGAUUCCUUUGAAACAAAAGCACCGAUGAUGAUGGCUUCUUUCUCGCAGAUACUUCGUCCCUUCUCAUCGUAAUAGCUAGAUUCCUUCGAAACAAAAGCAGUGGAUCGAAAACAAAGGAACAAAAACUCAAUGAGUAAAAGUAUUAGAUAUGUUUUUCACUGCAACCCUAAUGGCUUUUAACCUAUAUAUAGUAUAAAAUACCCUAUUUUUAAGGAAAUAAGAUUCUAUAUAUAUUUUUAAAACAAAUCUUUCUUCGUUACAUUUUUAACACAAAUCUGUCUUCUAUAUAUUUUUAAAACAAAUCUUUCUAUUAUCCAAAAAAAAAAAAUCUUCUAGGUGUAACAAAAAAGAUCAAGAUUUUUAUUUUUUUUGAAAACCUGCCUUUCUAAAAGUCACCAACAUUAUUACUAAUUAGCCCUUCAAAAAACAUUAUUAAAUUAGGGUAAUUAUAUAAAAUAGAUUUAGGCCCCGUUUGGAUAAACAACUUAUAUAGAUGCUUAUAGCAUUAGGGCUUAUAACAUUAGAGCUUACAUCAUAAGCUCUUAUACUUGAUAAGCUAUUUAUGUUUGGAUAUGUACACUAAAAAGUACUUACAUAAAUUGAAGUGUUUGGAUGUGAUAUUACAUAAGCAAUUAUCGAAAUAUUAAAAAAAAAUCAAAGAAUUGAACCACAAUUAUCAAGAUUUAUUUUGAUAAAAUUAAUCAAGAUGUAAAAAAACAAUAUUAUAAUAUAUUAGUUAUAAUUAUAUAUAUAGUAUAAUCAAUAUUCGUCCUUAAAAAAAAAAAAUUAAAGUUACCUGGGUGUAUGCUGCGUAAACACUCUGCAUAAAUAAACUUAAGAAAUUAUGAUUUUAAACUUAUCAUAUAUAUAUAUAUAUAUAUAUAUAUAUAUAUAUAUAUAUAUAUAUAUAUAUAUAUAUAUAUUAGUAUACAAUUUGUUACUAAAAAAAGACAAGUUAAGUUUGUUUUUUUUAUUCAGUUUCAUUUUGUUACGUAACAAAAAAAUAAUAAAAGUCUUCCUUAAAACAAAAAAAAGAAAUCUCAGCUACGUGUGUUACUUUAGUAAGAUAAACAUAUAUCAAUUUUGUUACUUAUGCACCGCUAAAGAUAAAUAACAUUAUAAUUAAAAUAUAUUUUUUUUUUCUAAAAACAAAAAAAUAAAAUAAAAUAUAUGUUUUGAAAAAGUGGAUCCGGAGAGAAUCGAAGGAGGUUACAUAAAUUCAUAAGCUCCUUGUUAAGCCGGAGGGUAAGCUGAAAAUUUAGGCUUAUUAAAAUAUGACAUAAGCAGCUUAUGAAACUAUGAUAAGCUGUUUUUAUUUAUUUACCCAAACACCUUUAAAAAGGCUUAUGAGAGUAGAUAAGCCCACAUAAGCUCAAAAUAAGCCAAUCCAAACGUUUCUAAAACAUGACUAAAAUCUCUUUUCUUAUAUUUUAAAGAUCUGUUAUAUUUAUUCUCAUGAAAGGACUUGUUAUUAUCCUCAAAGCAUACAUAGAAACGGUCAAAGAUAACGAUUAGACUAUAUUAUUAAUUAAGGAAAAAUAGUUAUAUUGUUUUGUUCACAUCAAAAAUAAGGAAAAAUAAUUAUAUUAUUUUUUUACAACAAAAAAAGGAAAAAUAAUUAUACUGUGUUGUUCACAGCAAAAAUAAGGAAAAAUAAUUAUAUUGUUUUUUUCACAACAAAAAAAGGGAAAUUAAUUAUACGCGCUAUUAAUUUGUUACCUUGAAAGAAAAUGAGUUUGUUGACUAGGGUUGGCAAAUGAAUGAAAACCUAAAUGAAACCAUGACCUAAUGCAUAGACAAGCCAUUAGCAUGAAUCUUCAUCUAUAUAUUCAAAGCAAUACUCUUCGGUGCAAUCACAUCUAACACUAAAUGUUUCUCCCUCUCCAUCACAACAAUUAUACUUUGAAUUUGUAUAUAAAAAAUUACAUAUCUAUAUGUUCUUAAUAUGUUUUCCAUAAUUCGAUUAGAAGGUUAUAUUUUUCUUUUUACUAUUAUAGGUGAUCAUAACAUAACAUAAUUAUUUCACAUCUAGGCUCAAAAUGAACAAGAAGAGAAUGAAUUUUUUAGGGUUGAGAUUGAAAAUUUUCAUGGUGAUCAGGUGAAUAGGGACAAGAAGGCCAUAAGCACUUCAUGCAACAUUUGUGGAAGCCAUUUCACGAAGUCUUUGUUCUUCUUGUACCUAUUAACGUCACCACGAAGCUUUUCAAAUUCAGCACUCAAAAUUCAUUGUUCAUCUUGUUCAUGUUGAGCCUAUAUGAAAUGAUUAUAUUAUAUUAUAAUCACCUAUAAUUAUGCUAUCAUAGUAUCAUAUCAUGUUAUCACACCUUAAAUUCAUUUGUUUCAAUCGUACUUUAUUCCUAAAUUCGAUCAUGUUAUAGUAUCCUACUUUCCUUCAAAAUUGCCACAAACGACAAUGAUGCUCUAAAUUGGAAUGGAUGUUAUCCAUGAAUAUGGGACAAGCGGUGGAUGCCGCUGUGGCUGCUGCUCUUUAGAAAGGAGGAGAAAUGUUGCUUUGUGCAUCAACAAUCAUUGUAUGUAUUUAUCAUUUUCCGACCUGUCCAACCGACUAGAUCAAAUUUUAAAAAGUCAAACAAACCAAGAAAAAACUCAUAAAAGAUCUAAUAGUGCUUGUGUAACACCCAAGGCUGACGACGAGGACGGGAAAUGGUCGCCGGUGCACAAAACACGAUAAUUAACGGCUUCCGACAACUUCUAGAGGAACAGAAUCACAUCGGAAUGAGAGGGAUCCUGAGGCUGUGUAGGUAUGAGACUACAUGGUUGAAGGAAGGCUUAUAAGAAUUGUUUGAUACUACCUAUAUCAACAAGAUGCAUUUUCUUUUUGGUAGCCCAUUCCAUAAUAACUCCACAGUUAAGCGUGCUUGACUUGGAGUAGUCUUUGGAUGGGUGACCUAAUGGGAAGUUUUCCGGUAAGCGUGCGAGUGAGGACAAAACACGCUGAAAAGACUCGUAUUGGUUUGUAGGGUCAGUCACCAAUGCUUAAAGUCGUUUGGGAUGUUACAGCUUGAUUCUUGAAACUUAGUCGCUCAAUUCCUGAAGAUGUCAGCGAUGAUUUUGUGUUUUUCUAGUAUCUUUUUCUAGAUUUUCCCAGGUUUGUUUGAGUUUUUAUAAAUGCAUGAAGAUGAUGAAUAGGUAGAGAAAACAAGAUUAAGAAAGGUAAAAAAAGUAGGUCAUGAUGAUGCACUAUUAGAUCUAGUAGAUAUGCAUGAUCUAAAAGUUUUAUUUUUGAAGAAAAAAUAUCAAAUGAUUAAAAUUUAAAAACUUAGGUCUUUAGUGAACCAACAUUGUAGAUGGUCCACCUUAGACAUUGGAGUUAAAAGUUAGGUUUAAUAGCAGUUUUGGCCCCUAAGUAUCAUGAAAUUGCGAUUUCGGCCCCAUAACAAAAUAAAAUACAAUUCAACCCCCUAAGUGCUGUCCUUUUUGCAAUUUUGACCCCAGACCAAGUUUGACCAAGUCAACGAUGAUGUUGACGCCAUAGGUGUAAUUUUUUUUUUAAUUAAAACAAUAAAAAAUAAAAAAUAAUUAUACAUGUGGCAUCCACAUCAGCAUUGUCUUGAUCAAAAUUUACCUAGGGGGCCAAAACUGCAAAAGGGAAAAUACUUAGGGGCUAGAUUGUAUUUUAUUUUGUUAAGGGGUCAAAAUCGCAACCUCUUAUACUUAGAUUUGAAUCCUAUUAUCAUGAUUGCAACUAAUUGAAAAUACUAACAUAACUAUUAUUAUGAUUGCAGAUAAUUGAAAAUACUAACAUAACUAUUUAUAAAAGUUAAAUAAGCUUGAUUCACGAAAUUAGAAUUGCAGAAUGUGCUGCCUAUACAAAAGAAUUGCAUUAUGUGAUGUAACUUUCUUAGCACUCUGAAAAAUUGUUCUUUCUUCACAUGCUAGUAAUAAAGAGGUGAACCAUUCACUAUUAAUGAGUUUUUUGUCCCACAUAUAUAUUCAUAUUUAUUAUGCUUUGUAUUCAUCAAGAGAUUUUAACUCAAAAAUCAACGGCCACAAUAAUAAAGAUAAGGAAAAUGUGAAGUUCUAUUAAAUCUUUUGGAGGCAGCUGUUGAUCUUAUCUUUUUCCCUAUCCAUGAAAGUCUUAAUCAUAAAAUAAAAAUCUUUUGACUAAAUAAUUGUUUCAGGUAAACUAAAUUGAGAUUGAUGAAGGGUUAACUAAUCAAUAUUCUUUACAGAAUAAAUUCUAAAGUUUUUAAUGUUACUUUGUGUAACUCUAUUUUAUUUUAUUAACCAUUCAUUCUCCAUAAAAAUGCUAUGAAAAUAUGAAGUUCGAUCCAAAGACAAGUAAAGUUUGAUCAAGAACUAUUUAUCGAAUUCAGAAACUCUCAAUAUAUAUAACAUCAAUAUUUAAGAUCAAUCAUCUUACAUAUGUCUUUGUCCUAUACGUACUGACACGAGAUUGCAUUCAAGUUUUUCACCUUCGCAAAUUUAUUAAUGGUAGCGAUGUUUCAGUGUUAAAACCAUUGUCCAUGUCUAUGGCAAUGCUUCGUAGCACUCCAAGAUUUCUACCAUAAUUGUAACUCAUUAACGAUUUGAGUCCACAUAUAUAUACUUGUUUAUAUACGUAACUCUUUGUCUCUGGUGUGCCAUAUAUAAUAUAAUUCUUGCUACUUGUACUCACUCCAGAACCACUACAAGCAUAAGAAAUAUGGGAACCAUUGAUGCAACCAUGCCUAACCUUGAUUCUGUAAUGAAUGAACGCAAAGCAUUUGAUGAAACAAAAUCUGGUGUGAAAGGACUUGUUGAUGGAGGACUUAAGAGGAUACCUGAGAUAUUCCAUUGUCAACCUGACAAAUACCAGAAAGCCAACAACACAAGCCAUGUUAUUCCUGUCAUAGAUCUUGUAGAUAUUGAUAAUAAAGAUCCAAGUAUUUACCAAGGGAUUGUUGGCAAAAUCAAGGAAGCAUGUGAAACAUUAGGUUUUUUUCAGGUUGUUAAUCAUGGAAUCCCUUUGAGUGUUCUUGAGGAGUUGAAAGAUGGGGUGAAAAGGUUUUAUGAACAAGACACAGAAGUCAAAAAAGAUUUUUAUACAAGAGAUAUGAAUAGAUCUUUUAUUUACAAUAGCAAUUAUGAUAUUUAUAGCCCACCAGCACUCAAUUGGAGAGAUACUUUUGCUUGUUACUUGGCUCCACCUGAUACUCUCAAACCAGAAGAGAUUCCUGUGGUAUGCAGGUACUAGUACAUUUGUAUGCAUGUGUAUAAAAAAAAUUAUGUGCUCCUUGAACUUUGGUUAUUCUAAUUUUAGCACCGUCGACACUUCAGAUUGAAGGUGUCUUCAGUGUCUGAUUAAUUACAUUCAAUUAUACAAUUUUCAAAUUUAUAGAAAUUAUUGAUGGACUUUUCUUCUAAUUGGCUAUUUAUUCUUGCAGAGAUAUAAUACUAGAAUAUGGAAAACACAUGAUGAAUCUAGGGACUUUAUUGUUUGAAUUGUUAUCUGAAGAUUUAGGUUUGCAUCCAAAUCAUCUAAAAGAUAUGGAUUGUACUCAAGGGUUAUUUGCUCUUUGCCAUUAUUAUCCUCCUUGUCCUGAACCAGAAUUGACUGUGGGAACAACCAAGUAUUCUGACAGUGCUUCUACAAGACCAUAUAGGUGGUCUCCAAGUUCUUUAUGAAGAUAAAUGGAUUGAUAUAGCACCUGUACCUGGAUCUCUCAUAGUUAAUGUUGGUGAUCUUCUGCAGGUAAGUUUUGUGUGUAUAUUUUCAGAAAUUGUUAGUAAUUAUGUACCAUACUGAAAAGAGAAAAACAAAAAUCAACAUAGCACUUAUUGAGCAAUCAGAAUGUUUCCUGCACUAAGUAAAGCAGACACGAAAGCUACUAAAAUUGGAGAAACCAUGCAAACUAAAAUGGAUAAUUGAUCAUAGUGCUGUUUGGAUUUUGUAAUUAAUCAUAGUGCUGUUAGGUUUCAAGCAUAUUAUACGUAUUAUGUUAAGAGUCCUACAUUGGAGAAAAAAUGAUAUUUUUUAAAAACUCGGUAUCCGGUCUAUGGACCGUCUCGAUAAAAUAUGAUAUGAAAAUGUAUUUAUAAGCAGAAUGCAUUUUUCACCAUGCUAGCACGUUUUUUUAGAGUUGAGUUAGCACAAUCAAAAUUCCCAGAUAGUAUCAGAGUCUAUCCAAGAUCCAUAGGGAUACAGGCUAUCCGGUUACGCUCUAGAUGUUUAGUCAUGGGCGUAGAAGUGAGUGUUAUGAGUCCAUCAUUCAAUGAAUUAUCGUAUGAAAAUGUGUUUAUAAGUAGAAGGCAUCCGUCACCUUACAAGCUGAAUAAGGCUUUGAUGGUUGAGUUGGAACCAUCCUAAACUGUAAUACCUUAUUUCCAUCUAAUUUGAGGUGUUAUUAUGCCUUUUGUGCCUUCUACUGUUGCUUAAUUUACUAGUAAUUUGACUAGUUCAACAUAAACUAGAUCUCUCGUACUGAUGCUAAACGAUGUUUUUAACUUUUCCUUAUUUACAUCAUUUGAUAUUCUUACCUUUUUAGCGUUAUUUUCAUCCGAUUCAACCAUGACCUAGAGGUCUCAUCAGUUCAAUGUCCGAUUUGGUUUUGAAGAUAUUAAUCGGUAGAAUAAAAAUUAGAUUUAAACAUAUAGCUAUAUUUUAUUUCUUUUUCUACAUAGCUAAUUAUUUGUUUGUUUAUCUUGUAGCUUAUAACAAAUGACAGAUUCAAGAGUUUUGAACACAAAGUACUUGCAAAUAAAAUUGGUCCAAGAAUAUCUGUAGCAAGCUUUUUCUCUACAGGUAAUAGGUCAUCUUCAAAGCUCUAUGGACCUAUGAAAGAACUAUUAUCAGAAGACAAUCCUCCUAAAUACAGAGAAACCACAGUUGCAGACUAUGUAACCUACUUUGUAAAAAAAGGAUUGGAUGGUACUUCUGCUCUUACACAUUACAGGAUUUGAACUGGACAAUGUGGAAGAAAAAACAAAUAUUUGAAUGAACUUGGUUAGUUGGUUGUGGUAUAUUUAUUCAUCAAUUCCACAAGAUAUGACAUGAACUAGAAAUAUGAUGUCGUUUCUUCUAUUUCAUGCUAUGGAUGAAUUACAAAGUAUAAACAUUCACCUAUUGAAAUUAAAGGUUGCUUAUGUUAGAUCUGCAAAGAGAUAAAACUUAACCUCCAUAGAUGAAAGAAUAGCAGAGAAAUCUUUUAUGAACUAGAUAUUGAAUAUAGAGAAAAAUGGUAUUCACAAAUAUGGAUUGUACAUUGUGAUCUCACACUUUAUACUAUGCAUAGAACUAUACAAAUCCAACUAUAGUUGGUUAACCAUCUACAACUAGCUAUCAUAACUAUCUUAACUGUCAAAAACAGUUAGUUACCUAACUAGUCAAUUACUUGUGAAGCAAGUAAUUGCAUAAUCUAUCAAAUUUUCGCACUUUAACGUGGUCGUUUUUUUCCUAGUAAAACUUGCUUUAACUCAAUUUCUCUCGGGAACUUAUUAUCAUUGGUCGGUAUUCUACAAUCUUUCAAACAACGAGCCUAAAAGGCAAAAGAAAUCUAUGUUGAAAUUGAAUCGAGUUCUGUUAAUUAGCAUGGUCCAAAAAUGUUUAAAUAUUUAAGUGAAAAAUAAUUAUUGUUAUUUUUAAAUGAAAAAUCAUUCUUAUGAUUGCACUAAAUGGAAACCAUUAACAUAACUCUGUUUAUAAAAAUUAAAUAAGCUUGAUUAUGUUUAUUAAUGAGUUUUUUCUCCCACACAGAUAUUCAUAUUUAUUAUGCUUUAUAUUCAUAAGGAAAUUUUAACUCUAAAAUCUACAGCCACAAUAAUGAAGAUAAGGAUAAUGUGAAGUUAUUUAAAUAGUGAUAUUUAUUUCUCUUACAUCAAGGCCUGACCAAGGGGGCAGCAGUUGGCCUGUUGAUCUUAUCCUUUUCCCUAUCCAUGGAAGUCCAAAAUCCAAAUCAUAAAAUAAAUCUUAUGACUAAACAAUUUAAUUUUGUCUUUUGAGACUGAUGCAUCCAUUUAGAGGGUCUAAGUUUAUACAAAUGUCUCAUAGGGUUGGUUAAUUAAUCAAGAUUCUAUACACAAAUUGUAAAGUUUUUAAUGUAACUUAUUUUCUUAAACCUUUCAUUCUCAAUAAAAAUUAUAUGCUAAUAUGAACUUCAGUAGAAAGAUGAGUAAAGUUUGGUAAUAAAUAAUGUACUGAAUCCGGAUUCUCUCGGUCUAUAUAACAUUGACAUUUAAGACCUGUGUCCGAUAUAUGUCAUUGUCCGAUACUAACACUAACACAUGUCAUGUGAUAACAUUCAAAUUUUUCACUCUUAUAAAAAAAAAAAAUUCACCUUCUCAAAUUAAUAAUGGCAUUGAUGUUUCAGCGUUAUAACCGUUUUCCGUGUCUAUGUCAAUGCUUUGUAGCUCUUCAUAAUUUUUACCUUAAUUGUAACUCUUUAAACAUUUGAGUCCACAUAUUUGUUUAUAUACCUAACUCUGUCUUUUUUGUGACAUAAUAUAAUUCUUGCUUCUUCUACUCAUUCAAGAAGCAUGGGAACCAUUGAUACAACCAAGCCUAACUUUGAUUCUAUAUUGAGUGAGCGCAUAGCAUUUGAUGAAACAAAAGCAGGUGUAAAAGGACUUGUUGAUGCAGGAGUUAAGAAGAUACCAACCUUAUUCCAUCAUCAACCAGACAAAUAUGAGGAAGCCAACAACACAAGCCAUGUUAUUCCUGUCAUAGACCUUAAAGAUAUUGAUAAUCAAGACCCUAGUAUUCAUCAAGGAAUUGUCGACAAUAUCAAGGAAGCAUGUGAAACUUGGGGUUUUUUUCAGGUUGUUAAUCAUGGAAUCCCUUUGAGUGUUCUUGAGGAGUUGAAAGAUGGGGUGAAAAGGUUUUAUGAACAGGCUACAGAAGCCAAAAAAAGUUUGUAUACAAGAGAUAUGAAUAGAUCCUUUGUUUAUAAUAGUAAUUUUGAUAUUUAUAGCUCUCCGGCACUCAAUUGGAGGGAUAGUUUUGCGUGUUACUUGGCUCCUGAUACUCCCAAACCAGAAGAUUUUCCCGCAGUGUGCAGGUAUGUUUCAAAGCAUGUGUAUAAAAUUUAUCUUAUGGCACCGACACUUCAAUUAAAGGUGAGUCCGGUGUCUGACAUGUUAUAAUUUUUUAUACUAUAUUUUCAAAUUAUUAAUGGCGUUCACUUAUCAUUAUCAAUUCCUUCGCUACUCGUGUAUAUGUUAGUGUUUCAUAAGACCUAAGUUAAGGUAUUCAAACUUAGCCUUUUCUUUUAAUGAAUUGCAGCGAGACCACUCUGUUGGUUACAAUAUAUCGUCGCAUAUUUAAUUGGUGUUAAUACUUUAAUAUUCAUUGUUUAUUCUUACAGAGAUGUAAUACUAGAAUAUGGGAAACAGGUGAUGAAUCUAGGAACUUUACUAUUUGAAUUGAUGUCAGAAGCUUUAGGACUGAAUCCAAACCAUCUAAAAGAUAUGGGUUGUGCUGAAGGGCUAAUUGCUCUUUGCCAUUAUUAUCCUCCUUGUCCUGAACCAGAAUUGACUGUCGGAACAACAAAGCAUUCUGAUAAUGAUUUCCUCACAGUGCUUCUUCAAGACCAUAUUGGUGGCCUCCAAGUUCUUUAUGAAGAUAAAUGGAUUGAUAUAACACCUGUAUCUGGAGCUCUCAUAGUUAAUGUUGGUGAUCUUUUGCAGGCAAGUUUUAUGUAUUCUUAUGUGUAUAUGUCCUUAAAUUGUUAGAAUCAAUAUGCCACUUAUUGAGCAAUCGGAAUGAGUCCAGCACUAAGCAAAACAGACACCAAAGCUCCAAAAAUAGGACACACCAUGCAAACUAAUUUGGCUAAUCUAAUUUAUCAUGGUGCUGUUUUGGUUCUUUGUAAUUAGUCAAGUCUCCUGCAUUUUCAACUUGGCUUCAAGCAUAUAGCAUGCCUUAUCAUCUAUCUCAUUUGAGGUGUUAUGUUAUGUUUUUUGUGCCUUCUUCUAUUGUUUACUUUACAAGUAACUUGACUAGUUCAUCAUAUACUAGAUCUCUCAAACUUUACUAGUCAUUUUUAGUAGAAUAAAGUAAUACAUUCUAUAUACAGAGAUAGAACACUGCCUAGCUUGGAGAAUGUGCACUGUCCUAUGCCAAAAUGACCUUACUCUUUCACAAAUGACUACCUAGUUUUCCUUCUCUAGCCCUCAUCUUUAUUUAUACGCAAAAUGCAUUAUUAUUCAUAGAAGAAUGAUAGAUUCCUCCUAAUGAGGUAGAACUUGUUUGUUUUUGUUUGUUGUAGUUCGAAGCAUUGGCUUAAAUAUAGAUUGAAUCGACUGUUUCAACCAAUUGAAUCAGUUUACCGGCUGGUUUGACUCGAUUACAUUGAGUUUGCUUUUAUCAAAUUGUACUAGGAUUGAACUGGGUUCAACUGUUUAACCUUUUUUACGUUGUUUAUUUUGUUGAUAAUUUUACUUUUUAAUAAUCAUGUGUCACCAGGAUCGAUCGUGUUUGAACCAAUAUUAAACCAUGACCUAAAGGUCUAAUUGAUUCGAUUUUUGGUCAGGUUUUUAAGAUAUUAAUUGGAAGGAUCGAUAAUAGAUGUAAACAUACAACUAAUUAUUUGUUUGUUUGAAUUGUAGCUUAUUACAAAUGACAAAUUCAAGAGUGUUGUACAUAGAGUACUUGCAAAUCAAGUUGGUCCAAGAAUAUCCGUUGCAUGCUUUUUCUCCACAGCACUUAAAGCAUCUUCAAAGCUCUAUGGACCUAUGAAGGAACUGCUAUCAGAAGACAAUCCUCCCAAAUACAGAGAAACUUCUGUUGCUGAUUAUGUAGCCUACUUUCGAGCAAAAGGACUAGAUGGUACUUCUGCUCUUACACAUUACAAGAUUUGAACUAAGCAAUGUGGCAGAAAAAAUAUUAGCUCAUAAAUAAUUGACAGAUCUUUGUGAGUUGGUAUCAUCUUUGUAAUUGUGAUAUGAACUCAUAAAUAUGAUGUGUUUUUUUUUCUUCAUGCAAUAGAUGAAUUACAAGGUAUAAACAUUCACUUAUUGAACACAGAUAUUUUAUUUAUCAUAACCCUCCAGUUUCGAGAGAAAGGUUCCAUUAAUAAUUCAGAGUUCGGUUGGAAGGUAAGUAAAACAAGGCAUCAUAUUCCAAGAAAGCGAAACAAGGCACGCCACGAUGUCGUAUCAACAUGUGAAGAUAUUCUGUCCAACAUCUUGCUAGAACACUUAUUUUAACAAAAUGCGGCCAAUCACAAUACACAAACCUAACACAACUAACUAUCAUAACUAUCUCAACUGUCAAAACAGUUAAUUAGUUGGUUGGUUACCUAACUAGUCAAUUACGUGUGAAACAAGUAAUUGCCUAAUCUAUCUUAUUUUCACACUUUAACAAGAACAAAACUUGCUUUGACUCAAUGCCCUCGGGAACUUGUUAUCAUUGGUUGGUAUUCUACAAUCUUGUUUUUCUAAAAUUGUAAGGAAAAACAACUCACUUUUUUGUCUCAAAAUGUAAGUAAAAAAGAUAAACUUUUAUCCUAUUUAAUCUUGUUUUUCUAAAAAACCAUCUUUUUCAAAAAAAAAAAUUUCUUAUUCUCAUGAAAUUAAAUGCAAAUUACAUUCAAUUUUCUCUCUUCUAUUUUCUCCCUAGCCAAUAGCCAAUGAAAAUUGUUUUUACAUCUUCCCAUAAAACUUUUUUUUGAGCAAAUCUUCCCAUAAAACUUAUUCUAAAGAAAACACAAAAAAUUAUACUUCUAAUUAUUAUGUUUUAGUUUUCUUAAUAAGUGUGAUUUAAGUUUUUUUGCUUACAAUUUGGGACGGAUGGAGUACAUGUUUAAUAAUGGGAUUUGAAUCCUAUUAUUAUGACUGCACUAAAUGGUAACCGUUAACUUAACUAUAAAAAAAUUUAGGUUAAACUACUCUUUUCGCCCUCUAAGUUUUAAAAUGUUGCAAUUUUGACCCAUAUUAAAAAAAUAAAAAUUUUGCUCUCUAUCUAGGGAAAUAUGCUCUUUUGAUCAUCUAACUUUAUGGAAAUAUGCUCUUUUAACCCUCUAUCUUUAGAGAAAUAAGCUCUUUUGACCCUUUACCUUUAUAAAAAGUUGCAAUUUUAGCCCCCUGUUUUGGGAUACGUGGCAUCUUCUCAUUAGUUUUUGCAACGUUUUGUAAAAUUAAGGGGCAAAAUUUUCAUUUUUUUAAUAGGGGUCAAAAUCGUAACAUUUUGAUACUUAGGUGGCGAAAAGUGAAGUUUAUGAAUGAAUUUUUUUUUCUCCCACAUAAUUAUUCAUAAGGAGAUUUUAAUUAACUCUAAAAUCUACAGCCACAAUUAUGAACAUAAGGAAAAUGUGAAGUUCUAUAAAUAGUGAUAUUUAUUUCUCUUACAUCAAAGCCUGACCAAAGGGGACGGCUGUCUUUGUCAGUGUUUCGUAGCUCUUCAUAAUUUUUACCUAAAAUGUAACUCAUUAAAUAUUUGAGUCCACAUAUUUGUUUUUAUAGGUAACUCUUUGUCUUUGUUGUGACAUACAAUAUAAUUCUUGCUUCUUCUACUCACACCAGAAGCACUAGAAACAUAAGUAGAAUGGGAACCAUUGAUACAACCAAGCCUAACCUUGAUUCCACAUUCAAUGAACGCAAAGCAUUUGAUGAAACAAAAGCUGGUGUAAAAGGACUUGUUGAUGCAGGAGUUGAGAAGAUACCAAGCUUAUUCCAUCAUCAACCAGACAAAUAUGAGAUAGCCAACAAUACAAGCAAUGUUAUUCCUGUUAUAGACCUUGAUGAUAUUGAUAAUAAAGAUCCAAGUAUUCACCAAGGGAUAGUUGAGAAAGUCAAGGAAGCAUGUGAAACAUUAGGUUUUUUUCAGGUUGUUAAUCAUGGAAUCCCUUUGAGUGUUCUUGAGGAGUUGAAUGAUGGGGUGAA
rnacentral:lncRNA from 1 species